rnacentral:lncRNA from 1 species
GAAAUUUGUGUUUUAAAAAGAAUGAAAAGAAAAGAGACAAGAUGAGAAAUGAAAAAAAAAAUUAAAAAAAAGUUGUGAAUAAAGGAGUCAAGAAGAGGAUUGAAUUAGAGGUUUUAGGUGUGAUUUGAUUGUGUUUCACUUGUUCUCUAUUGCUCCUCUAUUUCUUUUGGUUUGUAACUUCUUAUCCAUAUUUAUCCUCCCUUUUC